AGUGCUGCACUUGAGUAAUUUGCAUUCCUUACUUGUGCACAAUCGGAGCACCUGGACAUGACUUGUGCCCGUUUGUCCUACCAGCAGCUAUUGAGACAUUCUCCUGGUAAUGACAGCCACAAAUGUUUGACGUCACUGGCUUUGCCGGCUUGCAUUGUGAGCUCACUUUUCGUCACAGUUCCGGUGCUCUGUGAUGUCAGCCUAGUAAAGAAUGUGAAGUUUAAAGCUUUACAAACUGAAAUUGGUUCUUGUUGGAUACACAUCGAGCUUACAGAUAGUCCAUAAGAAAGAAGAGUAAAAUAUGGCAACAUCACCUAGACUGAUAAAUGAACUAGAGAGAGAAUUAAAGGGGUUCCUCACAGCAAUUUUUGCACGACAUCCUCCAAGCAUUAAUGAAUUUGCAGUGGUAUAUUUCUCUCAUCUUCUGAAGUACACAGCAGAAAACCCGUACCUGAAUGAGGAUGAACUACACAAGAAGUAUUACCUGACGAGA